rnacentral:rRNA from 1 species
CCUACGGGUGGCAGCAGUAGGGAAUCUUUCACAAUGGGCGAAAGCCUGAUGGAGCAACGCCGCGUGCAGGAUGAAGGCCUUCGGGUUGUAAAGCUCUUUCGGACGUGACGAUGAUGACGGUAGCGUCUAAAGAAGCACCGGCAAACUUCGUGCCAGCAGCCGCGGUAAUACGAAGGGUGCGAGCGUUGUUCGGAAUUACUGGGCGUAAAGGGAGUGUAGGCGGAUAUGUAAGAUAGCGGUGAAAUGCCGGGGCUCAACCCCGGAACUGCCAUUAUGACUAUGUAUCUAGAGUAAUGGAGAGGAUAGCGGAAUACCCAGUGUAGAGGUGAAAUUCGUAGAUAUUGGGUAGAACACCGGUGGCGAAGGCGGCUAUCUGGCCAUUUACUGACGCUGAGGCUCGAAAGCAUGGGGAUCAAACAGGAUUAGAUACCCCAGUAGUC